ACACUCCUACGGGAGGCAGCAGUGGGGAAUUUUGGACAAUGGGCGAAAGCCUGAUCCAGCAAUGCCGCGUGAGUGAAGAAGGCCUUCGGGUUGUAAAGCUCUUUUGUCAGGGAAGAAACGGUGAAAGCUAAUAUCUUUUGCUAAUGACGGAACCUGAAGAAUAAGCACCGGCUAACUACGUGCCAGCAGCCGCGGUAAUACGUAGGGUGCAAGCGUUAAUCGGAAUUACUGGGCGUAAAGCGUGCGCAGGCGGUUUUGUAAGUCUGAUGUGAAAUCCCCGGGCUCAACCUGGGAAGUGCAUGGGAGACUGCAAGGCUAGAAUCUGGCAGAGGGGGGUAGAAUUCCACGUGUAGCAGUGAAAUGCGUAGAUAUGUGGAGGAACACCGAUGGCGAAGGCAGCCCCCUGGGUCAAGAUUGACGCUCAUGCACGAAAGCGUGGGGAGCAAACAGGAUUAGAAACCCGGGUAGUCC
rnacentral:rRNA from 1 species